UAAGGAAUAUUGGUCAAUGGGGGCAACCCUGAACCAGCCAUGCCGCGUGCAGGAAGAAGGCCCUACGGGUCGUAAACUGCUUUUGUACGGGAACAAACCUUUCCUCGUGAGGGAAGCUGAGGGUACCGUAAGAAUAAGGAUCGGCUAACUCCGUGCCAGCAGCCGCGGUAAUACGGAGGAUCCGAGCGUUAUCCGGAUUUAUUGGGUUUAAAGGGAGCGUAGGCGGCCCGCUAAGUCAGGGGUGAAAGACGGCAGCUCAACUGUCGCAGUGCCCUUGAUACUGGCGGGCUUGAAUGCACCUGAGGUAGGCGGAAUGUGGCAAGUAGCGGUGAAAUGCAUAGAUAUGCCACAGAACACCGAUUGCGGAGGCAGCUUACCAAAGUGCGAUUGACGCUGAGGCUCGAAAGCGUGGGGAUCAAACA
rnacentral:rRNA from 1 species